GGAGGAAAGUUGUUAGCUUUAGCAAAGGCCGCCGCUUUUUCCACCGAGCGGCUGGCGGCGGCAGAGAGGUGGGCGUUGGGUGCGAGGAUAAUCGCGCGAGAGAUCUUUCGGGCAAUCUCUGCGCAGCCGAUUAUGCCAAAACGGAUUACCGUUUCCGCCAUUAAACUAUGUGGGGAGAACGAUGACAGUGCUAUGGCUUGGUUUUUCGCCGGAGUGAGCUGAGAUUCAGUCACCUCUAAUGAUAUUUAUUAUAAAAAUAAAAC
rnacentral:misc_RNA from 1 species